rnacentral:rRNA from 1 species
UCGGAUUGCAGUCUGCAACUCGACUGCAUGAAGCUGGAAUCGCUAGUAAUCGCGAAUCAGAAUGUCGCGGUGAAUACGUUCCCGGGUCUUGUACACACCGCCCGUCACACCAUGGGAGUUGGUAACGCCCGAAGUCAGUGACCCAACCGCAAGGAGGGAGCUGCCGAAGGCGGGAUCGGUAACUGGGGUGAAGUCGUAACAAGGUACC